rnacentral:rRNA from 1 species
GUGGGGAAUUUUGGACAAUGGGCGCAAGCCUGAUCCAGCCAUUCCGCGUGCAGGAUGAAGGCCUUCGGGUUGUAAACUGCUUUUGUACGGAACGAAAAGGUUCUCUCUAAUACAGGGGGCUGAUGACGGUACCGUAAGAAUAAGCACCGGCUAACUACGUGCCAGCAGCCGCGGUAAUACGUAGGGUGCAAGCGUUAAUCGGAAUUACUGGGCGUAAAGCGUGCGCAGGCGGUGAUGUAAGACAGAUGUGAAAUCCCCGGGCUCAACCUGGGAACUGCAUUUGUGACUGCAUUGCUGGAGUGCGGCAGAGGAGGAUGGAAUUCCGCGUGUAGCAGUGAAAUGCGUAGAUAUGCGGAGGAACACCGAUGGCGAAGGCAAUCCCCUGGGCCUGCACUGACGCUCAUGCACGAAAGCGUGGGGAGCAAACAGGAUUAGAAACCCGUGUAGUCC